GAGCAAUGAUGACAUGCCUCGAUGAUGGUUGGGUCCAUCAUAUCCUCCUGAAUUCUACAGGUUGACACUACAGGCCCUUCUGAGCUC